CACUACCCUGAUAGCAGACUACUCCGAUCCGGAUCCGUUUUACCUCCGGCAGAUCCGCGCUACAGUCAGGUCUGUUUAGUGGAUCUGGUCCGGCUUCACUCCGGGUUCGGGUUAUGAUUGUGACUCACGUUCAGAUCCGUUUUACUGACGGUAAAUCCGCAUAACAGUCCGUCUCAUUUCACGCCUUCCAUAUGACUUCGGCACGGAGUCAGAUACCAGACGUGAGUUCAGUGUCAGUUCAGUGUCGUUUUGCGGAUCCGGGCCGCAUCGGCGGAGCGGCACAGGAGCGGGAGAAAUUCAAACUCAGCGCGAGGACCAACUGACAUCUGCUGAAUCUGCGCUUCAGGUGUAAUCAUUUACCCAUCAAAUCACCUAACAAGGAUCAGCCUGGAUCCUAACAGUACUUGAUGCACUGAGCAGUGACAUUAUACAUAGAGUAGUUAAGCAGGAUUUGGUAUCCGCAAAAUGGUUCGAGGUCCUCAGCCCUCGCCUCCCCCAGCACAGAGGAAAACUACCAAGGGCGGUACUCUCAUUAUAGGAGAUUCAAUUGUUAGACAUUUAAAAGUAUCUAAGAGUAAUGGCACAAUUUCAUGUCUUCCAGAUGCUUGCAUGCUGGUAGUCGGCAAGCGGCUCCCUUGGGCGCAUUGCCAAAGCAGGAACCCCGGCACCAUCGCCCUCCACGUGGGGAUGAGCUUUCGGGAGCGACCGGCCCCGUUCCACAGAGACAGGCUUCUCUCUGUGAACAUCGAGGCGGUGCUACGCUGAGACUGACUGUCUCUACCCAGUCACACCAGCCAAGUAGGCUGCACUGUAGUGGUGUUAAGUGUCCAAGAAUGCUCUCAUCAGUGGAGGCACAGCUGGCUGCAAAAAACGUCUGUGUCUGCAUGUUUAUAUUAUGUGAAUUAAAAAUGAUUUUAUUAUUAAAAUAAUUGUAUUAAUGCCUGUUGAUUUAUAAAUUGUUUAAUUGUAAUCAAAUUUUAUUUAAGUAGCUUAAUUAAGUAUUGCAUUUAUAACUGAUGGUAUUUUAUUUAAUUAGCUUAAGUAUUGCAUUUA